UUGAACGCUGGCGGCAGGCCUAACACAUGCCAGUCGAACGGUAACAGGAAGAAGCUUGCUUCUUUGCUGGCGAGUGGCGGACGGGUGAGUAAUGUCUGGGAAACUGCCUGAUGGAGGGGGAUAACUACUGGAAACGGUAGCUAAUACCGCAUAACGUCGCAAGACCAAAGAGGGGGACCUUCGGGCCUCUUGCCAUCGGAUGUGCCCAGAUGGGAUUAGCUAGUAGGUGGGGUAACGGCUCACCUAGGCGACGAUCCCUAGCUGGUCUGAGAGGAUGACCAGCCACACUGGAACUGAGACACGGUCCAGACUCCUACGGGAGGCAGCAGUGGGGAAUAUUGCACAAUGGGCGCAAGCCUGAUGCAGCCAUGCCGCGUGUAUGAAGAAGGCCUUCGGGUUGUAAAGUACUUUCAGCGGGGAGGAAGGGAGUAAAGUUAAUACCUUUGCUCAUUGACGUUACCCGCAGAAGAAGCACCGGCUAACUCCGUG
rnacentral:rRNA from 1 species